rnacentral:rRNA from 1 species
AAACCAGCACCUCAAGUGGUCAGGAUGAUUAUUGGGCCUAAAGCAUCCGUAGCCGGCUCUGUAAGUUUUCGGUUAAAUCUGUACGCUCAACGUACAGGCUGCCGGAAAUACUGCAGAGCUAGGGAGUGGGAGAGGUAGACGGUACUCGGGAGGAAGGGGUAAAAUCCUUUGAUCUCUCGAUGACCACCUGUGGCGAAGGCGGUCUACCAGAACACGUCCGACGGUGAGGGAUGAAAGCUGGGGGAGCAAACCGGAUAGAAACCCCAGUAGUCC